GCGGGCGUAACUCAGCGGUAGAGUGUCACCUUGCCAAGGUGGAGGUCGACGGUUCAAAUCCGUUCGCCCGCU
rnacentral:tRNA from 1 species